rnacentral:lncRNA from 7 species
GAAGCUGGUGGAGAAACUGUUUGGCUGGAGUGUUUCUGCUGAUUAAGCCAGUCCUCCUCACUCUGUGCUUGAAGGCUGUGCAGAUCCCUCUGGUUCACUAAACAAACAGGAGUUGAGGGCAGGCUGUCAUCACCCCUGCAGCUUCUCUGCCCACUCGUGCUGGGGCACCAUCCAUCAAGCGAACAGGUUGGAGGAAGUGCAGGAGCUGUCUGAGUUGCCAAUGUGAAAUAAAUCAUACUACUGAAUGAGAACAUCUCACACCCAUUUUUUUUCUACCUCAUUACUAGGUCAAAGUCUGCAAUCUUUUAGCAUGGAACAGGAAGUAGUUGGCUUUAGUGCCACUUUUUGAUGUUGAGGAAGCUGGAAAUGGCAAGGAAUGUGAGGUGCGGGUCUGCUCAGGCCUUGGCAGGAAAUGCCUCGUGCAGAUCAGUUGUCCAUGUGCUGGCUGGUCUGGGAGGGCAUAAUCAGAAAUUCAGUGCUGUCAUCUACGAGCAUCUGGAAAGAAAAAAAAAAAAGGUUUUGGCUUUUUAUAACUUGGAGCAAACCUCUACUUCACUAUAUGUGAUCCCCUACCUGAGAAUUACGUUAAGUGCUGUCAUUUUUUCCUGGUUGAGGACUACCAGAGCUUCUGUGUUGUGGUUGUGUCAGUGAGGAGAGUUCAAUCUUGGCUUAAAAUUUUGAAGUCCUAAUCUAUAAUUUGUCUGUGACUGGGAUGCAUUCUCUAGGGAAAUCGGAGUAAUGAAUUGGAAAGAUGAAAUGCAGAAACAUGAAAAAGGAGCAAACUUAGGUAGCUCUGUUGCAACUGUUGAAAUUAGAAAGUCAGUGGUACAAAAGGUCCCUAAACUAAGGGUGUAAGGAGGGGCCUUAUCUUUUCCCUCUGUCACCAAGAGAAAGGAAAGUAAGAGUAAAGAGGCUGCUACUUCUGAAGUUUUGAAAAGACAUGGGAUAUGCUGAAGCAUUACUGAUCUAUCUCCAGUGCUGUUAGUAAAGGUACCAGUGCAUUCAAAGUUCGAUUUAUCUAGUUUGAAAAGUGUGUGGACCUUUUCUCGAAACUGUUCUGCUUCAAGAAACAAUCAGUGAUUCUGGACAAGAGGGAAUGGAAUGAUGAAUAGUUCAGUAAACCUCCCCAGUCACACUGCGCAAACAUGCAAACCUUGGGUUGCCUUGAUGGAGGUUAAAAUCCUCAGAACUGUGGCUUAAGAAAUGCUGUGUGUAGGUUAUAUGUUGAGGGGAGCCAAGUUCCUGUCUAGAACAAUACAAAGUUAAUUACUAAUAGGUUUGGUUUUUUGAGUUUUUUGUUUGUUUUUGUUUUUCCCAGGAAAAAUGUUUCCAACUUUGACUUCUAGACAUCUGACUUGAAGGAGAAAAAAAAAAAAAAAAAAGACCAGGAAAGGUUCAUCUUUAUUAUCUGCUUUACUGGAGUUCAUGUUGCUCAUUUGUUCUUAUACUGCUAAAGAGGGAGGGUAGAGACAUAAUAUGUCUUUAAUUUUCCUUCUUUCUAUUUUGCCUUUUGAUAGCGUGUUUCUUAACUUGUCAUGUUUUGUGAACUGCCUUUAUUCCAUUUUGGUAAAAUAAAAAAUGGAAAUCGAGAGUUGUCCUUAAUGGGUCUAUUCUGUGCGGGGGUUGUUGAAGAUAAAGAU